AGAGAGGGCUGGGCGGUCGCCGGCCGCGGUCAAGCGGCGGGAGGAAAGUCGGGGCUCCACAGGGCAGGGUGCUGGGUAACACCCAGGGGGGGCGACCCCACGGACCAGUGCCACAGAAAGUAGACCGCCGCUCCUCGGAGCGGUAAGGGUGAAACGGUGAGGUAAGAGCUCACCAGCGGCGCGGGUGACCGUGCCGGCUCGGUAAACCCCACCCGGAGCAAGGCCAAAUAGGAGAGCGAUGGGGUGGCCCGCCCCGCUCUCGGGUUCGGCCGCUCGAGACGCCGGGUAACCGGCGCCCUAGAGAAAUGACCGUCACCCCUCACGGGGGACAGGACCCCGCUUACACGCCCUCUCUGGCG
rnacentral:RNase_P_RNA from 1 species